rnacentral:rRNA from 1 species
GCCUACGGCCUGCCGCCCUGAGAGCGGCCGGUCUCGCCUGAUCUCGGAAGCUAAGCAGGGUCGGGCCCGGUUAGUACUUGGAUGGGUGACCGCCUGGGAAUACCGGGUGCUGUAGGCU